CUGAGGGGCCGAUCACAGUCUUCUCACAUUAACUGAUGCUCAGGCAAGCCCUCCGAACAGAGCUAAGGGAAGAAGACCAGAGCCCUGAGUCAGAAGAUGCGCCAUCCUGUCCUGUCUGGGUCUGCAGGGGCACCCAGCUGCUCUGCUGGGUGUCCCUCUGUCUCCUGGGGGCAGGUCUGGCGGGUGCCGAAGUCAUCCAGACACCCAGACACCUAAUCCAAGGCAGUGGGGGGAAGGCCGUGCUGAAAUGCGAACCUGUCUCUGGGCACAGCAGUGUGCGAUGGUACCAGCAGACCCUGGGGCAGGGCCCCAAGUUCCUCAUUGAGUAUUAUGAACAGGAGCUGAGAGACAAAGGAGACAUGCCGGAACGGUUCUCAGCUCAACAGCUCAGUAACUGCAGCUCCCAACUAGACCUGAGCUUGCUGGAGCCAGGAGACUCAGCCCUGUAUCUCUGUGCCAGCAGCUAG